rnacentral:rRNA from 1 species
AACGUAGGACACGAGCGUUAUCCGGAGUUACUGGGCGUAAAGGGCGUGCAGGCGGUUUUGUAAGUUUGAUGGGAAAGCGCCCGGCUUAACCGGGCGAGGACAUUGGAGACUGCAAGACUAGAGGCAGAUAGAGGGGUGUAGAAUUCCGGGUGUAGUGGUGAAAUGCGUAGAGAUCCGGAGGAAUACCAGAGGCGAAGGCGGCACCCUGGGUCUGACCUGACGCUGAGACGCGACAGCAUGGAGAGCGAACGGG